AGUGAACGCUGGCGGUAGGCCUAACACAUGCAAGUCGAACGGCAGCACAGUAAGAGCUUGCUCUUACGGGUGGCGAGUGGCGGACGGGUGAGGAAUACAUCGGAAUCUACUUUUUCGUGGGGGAUAACGGAGGGAAACUUACGCUAAUACCGCAUACGACCUACGGGUGAAAGCAGAAGAUCUUCGGACCUUGCGCGUUUGAAUGAGCCGAUGUCGCAUUAGCUAGUUGGCGGGGUAAAGGCCCACCAAGGCGACGAUCCGUAGCUGGUCUGAGAGGAUGAUCAGCCACACUGGAACUGAGACACGGUCCAGACUCCUACGGGAGGCAGCAGUGGGGAAUAUUCGACAAUGGGCGCAAGCCUGACCCAGCCAUACCGCGUGGGUGAAGAAGGCCUUCGGGUCGUAAAGCCCUUUUGUUGGGAAAGAAAAGCAGCAUGUGAAUCCCCCGAUGUUCUGACGGUACCCAAAGAAUAAGCACCGGCUAACUUCGUG
rnacentral:rRNA from 1 species